rnacentral:rRNA from 1 species
AGCAGCCGCGGUAAUUCCAGCUCCAAUAGCGUAUAUUAAAGUUGUUGCAGUUAAAAAGCUCGUAGUUGAAUUUCGGAAUCUGUCCAUCGGUCGUGCUUCACUGUUCGUACUGGUGUGGUGGGUUCUUACCUUCUGAAUAACCAGCAUGCCAUUCACUUGGUGCGCUGGGGAAGCAGGACUAUUACCUUGAAAAAAUUAGAGUGCUCAAAGCAGGCCAGCGCCUGAAUACAUUAGCAUGGAAUAAUAAAAUAGGACUCUGGUUCUAUUUUUUUGUUGGUUUCUAGUGACUAGAGUA